rnacentral:RNase_P_RNA from 1 species
AAUAUAUAGACAAACGCUGGUAUUCUUGAAAUAUUAGAGGAAAGUCCAUGCUCGCACGCUUCUGAGAUGAGCGUAGUGUUCGUGCCGAGGGAAAAAAUAACCGAGGGUAGAUAAAAUCUAACGGCGGAUGAUAAUCUAAGUCUUAGGAUAUGAUUUAGUCCAUAAAGUGCCGCAGUGACGAAUUUUUAGGAAACUAAAAAGUGAAACGUGGUAAACCCCGCGAGCGAGAAACCCAAAUUUGGUAGGGGAGUUCUAACGAAAGAAAUGAAUGGAGUUAGGAACUGAGUAAUCAGUAGAUAAAUGUUUGUCGCCUAGUAAUAGGAACAGAACAUGGCUUAUUUAU